AAAUCUUCAAGAAUCCUGUUGUUUUUAUCAUGUAGUCACAGUGUCUGUAAAGAGUGUCUUCAGCAGUUCUGGAGAACAAAGAAAACUCAGGAGUGUCCCGUCUGCAGGAGAAGAUCCUCAAGAGAACAGCCUCCAUAUAAUCUAGCAUUAAAAAACUUGUGUGAGUCGUUCCUGAAGGAGAGAAAUGAGGUUCGUUCAUCAGGAUCUGAGGAGAUCUGCCGUUUACACCGUGAGAAACUCUCAAACUCUUCUGUCUGGAGGACAAACAGCCGGUGUGUUUAGUGUGUGUUAACUCUCAGAAACAUGACAAUCAUAAAUUCAGACCCAUCGAUGAAGUUAUUCCUUCAUAUAAGGAGGAGCUCAAUACAGCACUGAACUCAUUACAGAAGAAACUUCAACAAAAUGAAAAAAUUAAAGGAGAGUUUGAGAAAACAGUUCAACACAUCAAGUCUCAAGCUGAGCACACAGAGCGUCAGAUUAAACAGCAGUUUGAGGAAGCUUCAUCAGUUUCUCAGAGAUGAAGAAGAAGCUACACUCACUGCACUGAGAGAGAGA